rnacentral:rRNA from 1 species
UGUUGCGAUCAUACCAGCACUAAUGCACCGGAUCCCAUCAGGACUCCGCAGUUAAGCGUGCUUGGGCGAGAGUAGUACUAGGAUGGGUGACCCCCUGGGAAGUCCUCGUGUUGCAACCC